GACGAACGCUGGCGGCGUGCUUAACACAUGCAAGUCGAACGGAAAGGCCCUGCUUUUGUGGGGUGCUCGAGUGGCGAACGGGUGAGUAACACGUGAGUAACCUGCCCUUGACUUUGGGAUAACUUCAGGAAACUGGGGCUAAUACCGGAUAGGAGCUCCUGCUGCAUGGUGGGGGUUGGAAAGUUUCGGCGGUUGGGGAUGGACUCGCGGCUUAUCAGCUUGUUGGUGGGGUAGUGGCUUACAAAGGCUUUGACGGGUAGCCGGCCUGAGAGGGUGACCGGCCACAUUGGGACUGAGAUACGGCCCAGACUCCUACGGGAGGAAGCAGUGGGGAAUAUUGCACAAUGGGCGGAAGCCUGAUGCAGCAACGCCGCGUGCGGGAUGACGGCCUUCGGGUUGUAAACCGCUUUCGCCUGUGACGAAGCGUGAGUGACGGUAAUGGGUAAAGAAGCACCGGCUAACUACGUG
rnacentral:rRNA from 1 species